rnacentral:rRNA from 1 species
GACGAACGCUGGCGGCGUGCCUAAUACAUGCAAGUCGAACGCAGUGGGGACGGGUGAGUAACACGUGGGUAACCUCCCAUCAGAGGGGAUAACACUUGGAAACAGGUGCUAAACCGAUACUGAUGGAUGGACCCGCGGUGCAUUAGCUAGUUGGUGAGGUAACGGCUCACAAAGGCCACGAUGCAUAGGCUACCUGAGAGUGUGAUCGGCCACACUAGGACUGAGACACGGCCCAGACUACUACGGGAGUCAGCAGUGGGGAAUAUUGCACAAUUGGCGCAAGCCUGAUGCAGCCAUGCCGCGUGUAUGAAGAAGGCCGUCGGGGUGUAAAGUACUUUCAGCGGGGAGGCGUUACCCGCAGAAGAAGCACCGGCUAACUCCGUGCCAGCAGCCGCGGUAAUUC